rnacentral:rRNA from 1 species
CUGGCGGCGUGCCUAACACAUGUAAGUCGAACGGGCAUUUUGGGAAACUGGAGUGCUAGUGGCAGACGGGUGCGUAACACGUGGGUGACCUACCUCAGAGUGUGGAAUAACGGAUCGAAAGGUUCGCUAAUACCGCAUAUGCUCGAUGAUUUUGUUCAUCGAGAAAAGCCGUAAGGCGCUUUGAGAGGGACCCGCGGCCCAUCAGGUAGUUGGUGAGGUAAUGGCCCACCAAGCCGAUGACGGGUAGCUGGUCUGAGAGGACGACCAGCCACAAUGGAACUGAGAUACGGUCCAUACUCCUACGGGAGGCAGCAGUGAGGAAUAUUGCGCAAUGGGCGAAAGCCUGACGCAGCGACGCCGCGUGGGUGACGAAGGCCCUCGGGUCGUAAAACCCUUUUGGCAGGGACGAGUGAGGACGGUACCUGUCGAAUAAGUCUCGGCGAACUACGUGCCAGCAGCCGCGGUAAAACGUAGGAGGCGAGCGUUAUCCGGAUUCACUGGGCGUAAAGCGCACGUAGGCGGUCGGGUAAGUCGGAUGUUAAAGCCCCUGGCUCAACUAGGGGAGGUCAUUCGAUACUGCUCGGCUUGAGGAUGAGAGAGGAAAGUGGAAUUCCCGGUGUAGCGGUGGAAUGCGUAGAGAUCGGGAGGAACACCAGUGGCGAAAGCGGCUUUCUGGCUCAUUCCUGACGCUGAGUGUGCGAAAGCGUGGGUAGCAAACGGGAUUAGAUACCCUGGUAGUCC